GAGCUCUGAUUUGCUUAUUGCACCACAUGUGUUUUUCUUUGAAACAAACUUGCUUUGGCGGUGGGCCCAGCCUGCCGCCAGAGGUCUAAACUUACAACCAAUUUUUUAUCAACUUGUCACACCAGAUUAUUACUAAUAGUCAAAACUUUCAACAACGGAUCUCUUGGUUCUCGCAUCGAUGAAGAACGCAGCGAAAUGCGAUACGUAAUAUGAAUUGCAGAUAUUCGUGAAUCAUCGAAUCUUUGAACGCACAUUGCGCCCUCUGGUAUUCCGGAGGGCAUGCCUGUUUGAGCGUCGUUUCUCCCUCAAACCGCUGGGUUUGGUGUUGAGCAAUACGACUUGGGUUUGCUUGAAAGACGGUAGUGGUAAGGCGGGAUCGCUUUGACAAUGGCUUAGGUCUAACCAAAAACAUUGCUUGCGGCGGUAACGUCCACCACGUAUAUCUUCAAACUUUGACCUCAAAUCAGGUAGGACUACCCGCUGAACUUAAGCAUAUCAAUAAGCGGGAGGAA
rnacentral:rRNA from 1 species